AAAUAUGUGGUCAACAAUAGUAUGACAAUAGAUAUGAUAUCAAUAGUAUAGGAACGUGACAAUCAAAUUUAAGGAUAAAGAUUGGGGGAGGUCAUUGCUGACUGGAAACAAAAUUAAAAAAAAUAUACAGCUACGAAAGCCGCUAUCCAGUGCAACACAACACGAAAACACCGGCGGUUAUUAACAAUAAUGCCAGAUACAAUUUUAACAGGCGUUUUGACCGUAGGUACGAGACAUGGACUCAGAUCCUAACUUAAAACAAGAACCACAGCGGACAACGUACCUGCAGAUGGAACUAUCGGCAAGAAAAUCUAUUUACGUGAAAAUAUGAAAAAAGAAGCGCAUUUUUCAGAGCUUAAUUAAAUCAUUUAUUAUUUAUAACGGUUUUCAUUGAUCACCUUAUAUAACGUCCAUAGGAAAAGAAAGAUAGUCCCUAUUUUACUUCCAUAUUAUGCAUCUUCCUUAAAGCGAUAAGCUAGCAAUUACACGUUUCUAUAUGUAUCCAGCCAA